rnacentral:rRNA from 1 species
UACGGAAGGCAGCAGUGGGGAAUAUUGCACAAUGGGCGCAAGCCUGAUGCAGCCAUGCCGCGUGUAUGAAAAAGGCCUUCGGGUUGUAAAGUACUUUCAGUCGUGAGGAAGGUGUUAAGGUUAAUAACCUUAGCAAUUGACGUUAGCGACAGAAGAAGCACCGGCUAACUCCGUGCCAGCAGCCGCGGUAAUACGGAGGGUGCGAGCGUUAAUCGGAAUUACUGGGCGUAAAGGGCACGCAGGCGGUUAAUUAAGUUGGAUGUGAAUCCCCGGGCUUAACCUGGGAAUGGCAUUCAAGACUGGUUAGCUAGAGUCUUGUAGAGGGGGUAGAAUUCCAUGUGUAGCGGUGAAAUGCGUAGAGAUGUGGAGGAAUACCGGUGGCGAAGGCGGCCCCUGGACAAAGACCUGACGCUCAUGUGCGAAAGCGUGGGGAGCAAACAGGGAUUAGAUACC